AAAAUCAUUAAAAAAACAUAAAUCUACAUUUAUUUCAUUCUACCUAGCCUCUCUUCUACCGACAUGCUCGUAUUCCCAAAUGGUAAAUCUU
rnacentral:sRNA from 1 species